GUGGAAACGCAGGGAGAGCGUCUCGGAUCAUUGACAACGUAAAUAGGAGCAGCAACGUCCAAUUAAAGGGCCCUGAUCACGAAACACAGGAACAAAAUGAAUCUGGAGAGUUUGAUCCUGGCUCAGAACGAACGCUGGCGGCGUGCCUAACACAUGCAAGUCCAACGUGAAAGGGGAGCAAUCCCCCGGUAGGGUGGCAAACGGGUGAGUAAUACAUGGGUGAUCUACCUUAGGGAUGGGGAUAUCCUUCCGAAAGGAGGGGCAAUACCGAAUAUUGUCCGGAGCCGUGAAGGGUUCCGGGGAAAGGGAGGCCUCUGAUACAAGCUUUCGCCUUAAGAUGAGCCCAUGGCCCAUCAGCUAGUUGGUAGGGUAAAGGCCUACCAAGGCUACGACGGGUCGCUGGUCUGAGAGGACGACCAGCCACAC
rnacentral:rRNA from 1 species